rnacentral:rRNA from 1 species
AACACAUGCAAGUCGAACGGUAACAGGAAGCAGCUUGCUGCUUCGCUGACGAGUGGCGGACGGGUGAGUAAUGUCUGGGAAACUGCCUGAUGGAGGGGGAUAACUACUGGAAACGGUAGCUAAUACCGCAUAACGUCGCAAGACCAAAGAGGGGGACCUUCGGGCCUCUUGCCAUCGGAUGUGCCCAGAUGGGAUUAGCUAGUAGGUGGGGUAACGGCUCACCUAGGCGACGAUCCCUAGCUGGUCUGAGAGGAUGACCAGCCACACUGGAACUGAGACACGGUCCAGACUCCUACGGGAGGCAGCAGUGGGGAAUAUUGCACAAUGGGCGCAAGCCUGAUGCAGCCAUGCCGCGUGUAUGAAGAAGGCCUUCGGGUUGUAAAGUACUUUCAGCGGGGAGGAAGGCGAUAAGGUUAAUAACCUUGUCGAUUGACGUUACCCGCAGAAGAAGCACCGGCUAACUCCGUGCCAGCAGCCGCGGUAAUACGGAGGGUGCAAGCGUUAAUCGGAAUUACUGGGCGUAAAGCGCACGCAGGCGGUCUGUCAAGUCGGAUGUGAAAUCCCCGGGCUCAACCUGGGAACUGCAUUCGAAACUGGCAGGCUAGAGUCUUGUAGAGGGGGGUAGAAUUCCAGGUGUAGCGGUGAAAUGCGUAGAGAUCUGGAGGAAUACCGGUGGCGAAGGCGGCCCCCUGGACAAAGACUGACGCUCAG